rnacentral:misc_RNA from 1 species
GAAAUGCGAUAAGUAGUGUGAAUUGCAGAAUUUAGCGAAUCAUCGAAUCUUUGAACGCACAUUGCGCCCUCUGGCAUUCCGGGGGGCAUGCCUGUCCGAGCGUCAUUACGCACCCUCAAGCCCGGCUUGUGUGAUGGGCCCUGGCGUCUCGUUCGCGAGACGGGCCCGAAAGGCAGCGGCGGCGUCGACCCGAUGAGCCCGAGCGUAUGGGGACUUUUGUCACACGUUUGCGGUGCGGACCGGCGCCUGCUUGACUUUUCUGAUUAUCCAGGUUGACCUCGGAUCAGGUAGGGAUACCCGCUGAACUUAAGC